UACAGAGGUGGCAAGCGUUGUUCGGAAUUACUGGGCGUAAAGGGCGCGUAGGCGGUCUUUUAAGUUCCGUGUGAAAUCCCUCGGCUCAACUGGGGAACUGCACGGGAAACUGGAAGGCUUGAGUUCGGGAGAGGGAAGCGGAAUUCCGGGUGUAGCGGUGAAAUGCGUAGAUAUCCGAAGGAACAUCAGUGGCGAAAGCGGCUUCCUGGACCAGAACUGACGAUCAGGCACGAAAGCGUGGGGAGCAAACAGG
rnacentral:rRNA from 1 species